rnacentral:lncRNA from 1 species
UUAGUCCAUUAUCGCAUUCAAAUGUAUCAAUACAUGAAGAAAAAAACUACAAUUUUGCCAUGCUGACCAAGUGGACUUUUGGUCAACUGUUGAGUUUUGGUCAACCAAUUGACCAAAGUCAACUAUAUGACCAUUGACACUUUCCAAGUCCUAACUCAUGUUCAUGUUCACUUUUAACCAUGCUCAUUAUAAAGUCCAUUUCUUUAUUUUGUUCAUUUUCAUUUUAGACCCUAUUCUUC